UGUUACAUUUUUUGCUAGAAUUUACUGCCUUUUUUACGAUAAGGGAAAGCGACGACAAUGCAUUGAAGGAGAUUCAAAGAUUUUAAUUUGUAAAUCGUAAAAUUUUCUAGAAAAUGAACGGCAAUGAAUAAUGGAAAAUAAAUUCGUUUAAAUAAAAAAUAAUAACUGGAAAUAUCGCCCGGAUGUGAAGAUAAUGUAAAUACUUUUCCAUUAUAAAAGGAAUUUUAAGGUUAAAUUAAUAGAUUGAUAAGAUCAGGAAGAAGACUGUAUACCGGUGAGCGUAAUGUUAAAAUUAAUGAGGAGGGUUAGCAAUGCCAAGCUGAACAUUCUUCUCUACGAAAAAAAGGAAAGCUGUAAGUUUUUGUUCUUAAAAGAAUGGAAUGGGUAUGAGAAUUAUACAAGUAUGAAACUAUAAUUGUAAGAUGACAAAGUGUAUGAAUCGAGAGUGAAUUAAAAAUUGUUUAGUAGCGGUCGGAUUUCGUUAUUUGUAUGAUCAAACCGAACAAUCUUAUGCGAUAUCAUUGAAAUGGCAGACAAAUGUCAUAACUACCGUACACACUAAGAAAUGUCGAAGGAAUGAGAGAACUACCUUUUGCAUGCAUACUGAGAGACAUUGUCUGUAUAAAGCUGGUUCAUAGGUCCUGCAAACAUUAUCACAAUAAUGUAUAAAGUAUUUCCUUUGUGGAAUUCCAUGUAAGGGUGUAACCCAUUUCACCAUAAAAUGUAUUUAAAAAUGUAAAAUAAAACAGAACUUAAUUGAAAAUACAA